AUAGCUAUCUGGGGUAUCACCGCUCAAACAGGGCAAGCACCGAAUGACCCGGCUUUCAUGUCUUUGCAGGGGAAAAUCAAGCCUUUUAACAUGGGGCCAUAAUCCAAAGGCAACAGGCGAGCAACCAGGCUUCUCCAAUGCAAUGUGGCGAGAUAGGUCUCGUCACACUUAUACGGAGGCCUUGUCCUCCUUGUAACUCAUACAUAGAGCAUAUAGUAGGUACAUAUACAGAGGCUGUGUCCUCAUUGUAACUCAUACUGAGAGUAUAUAGUGGAUACAUAUACUGAGGUGGUGUCCU